rnacentral:rRNA from 1 species
GUAGUUUGAUCGUGGCUCAGAUUGAACGCUGGCGGCAGGCUUAACACAUGCAAGUCGAGCGGGGGAGAUUGCUUCGGUAAUUGACCUAGCGGCGGACGGGUGAGUAAUACUUAGGAAUCUGCCUAUUAAUGGGGGACAACAUCUCGAAAGGGAUGCUAAUACCGCAUACGCCCUACGGGGAAAGCAGGGGAUCACUUGUGACCUUGCGUUAAUAGAUGAGCCUAAGUCGGAUUAGCUAGUUGGUGGGUAAAGGCCUACCAAGGCGACGAUCUGUAGCGGGUCUGAGAGGAUGAUCCGCACACUGGGACUGAGACACGGCCCAGACUCCUACGGGAGGCAGCAGUGGGGAAUAUUGGACAAUGGGGGAACCCUGAUCCAGCCAUGCCGCGUGUGUGAAGAAGGCCUUAUGUUGUAAAGCACUUUAAGCGAGGAGGAGGCUCCUGUAGUUAAUACCUACAGAGAGUGGACGUUACUCGCAGAAUAAGCACCGGCUAACUCUGUGCCAGCAGCAG